rnacentral:rRNA from 1 species
GAAUAUUAGUCAAUGAUCGAAAGAUUGAUCUAGUUACUUAGAAAGAUGAAGAUUAUAAAAAAAAAGUAAAAAGAAAAUAAUAAUGAAGAAUAUAAAAUCAAUAUAUAUAUAGAAGAAAAAAGAUGAGAAUAUAUAUAGAAGUCUUAACCAAAAUUAGUGCCAGCAGUUGCGGCUAAACUAAGGAGGCGAACGUUAAUCAUUAAUGGCUUAAAGGAUCCGUAGAAUGAUAUAUUAAAAAAUAUAUUAGAGUUAAAUAGAAUAAUUAUGAAAAAUUAUAUUGAGAGAUGAAAUGUGUGGAAAAUAAUUAGACAAAUAAACGUGAAGAUAAAAUUAAAAAUUUAACUGACAUUGAGGGAUGAAGGCAUGAGUAGCAAAACGGAUUAGAUACCCGAGUAGUUCAUGCAGUAAACGAUGAAUACUUAUUGAAAAAUAAAAGCGAAAGCAAAAGUAUUCCGCCAGGAGAGUAUAGCUUCAAAGUUGAAAUCCAAGACAAUAGACGGUUACAGUUGUAGGCAGUGGAUUGUGUUAUUUAAU